rnacentral:lncRNA from 1 species
CCCACUUAACGUGGUGCCCAGGUGAUUCACAUGCACUGUGAAGUUUGAUCAAAUGCUCUGGAUUGCCCCUAAACCAAAGCAUCUCCAUCAAGUUUUCUACCUUGUCCUCUGGGGCAAAUAAGCAAGAAAAUAAUCUCUUUUCUCUCAGUUUCCUUAGGUUUUGAUUUCUCUAAGAAUAAGUACAUUGUAAUAUGAGGAAUUUGACAUAUGAUCUAGAAAUUAGAUUGCUAGAUUCAGCAAGUAUAAAUACGCAAUACCCAGUACAGUAUAAUUUCAGAUAAACGACACAGAAUUUUUCAGUAUAAGCAUAUCCAUAUGAUAUUUGGGACAUACUUAUGUUAAAUCCAGAGCAUGCAAUAUUUGGGACAUACACAGACUUAAAAAAUGUAUUGUUUAUGUGAAAUUCAACUUUAACUUGGUUUAAAAAAAUUCCACUAGGUAUCUUAUAUUUUAUCUGGUAAACCUAUCUAGAAAGGAUUGUUUGGGUUCCAUAUUUUCUGCUGAAACCUUCACAGGAUUUCUCCUUUUUAGGCACUACAGUUGUGAUGAGGCAAUUGCAACAUUUGAAAAGACCCCAGGGAGUUUGCAUUAAAUGCGUUUCACAAGAGUGAAUGAUGGAACAGAACACCAUGUACAAAGACACAGUCAUCCAACACCCAAGCACAAAUGGCACAAGUUAAACAUGUGACGGCUUGAUGUAUGACAGGUAAUUUGUUUUGCACGUCCAUUUCCAUUUACAUAUGAACUUAAAAACUGUUUACAUUGCUUUUAGGAGUUGCAUUUUAAUAUGCUGGUAUGCUAUUUUUCCCUUCAAGAGAAAAAUUUCAUUUAAAUGUGACUAGUUACUUGGAGAAAAUAGGAUUAUAUAUUCAGGUUUUAUUAUUCCACAAAAUGAAAUUAUUUUGUUUCACUUAGAAUGCCUAUGACGUAAACCACCCUUCACAUCUAUCCAUCUCCACUCUUCUCAAUUUAAAUCAAAUUUUAAAAAAGAAAGAAAAAUGGUUUUUAGCCUUUUUUUUUCCCAUUCUGACUCUUUUAUUGCAUCUUGGAUAUAUUUGACCAAUACAAGCAUAUUUAUACUUCUCAAUCCAAAUUAUAAUCCCCUCUACCUAUUCAUUCCUAAGGUAUAUUUAUUUCUUAGGACAUCAGCAAAGAAUUAAACAGUAUUCUCAGAUGUGCUGGUCAUUCUCUCUGUCAUGAGUUAACUUAAUUGAAAUUAGCCUAAAGAUAUUAAUGUUAUCUGGAAAAAUGAACAUGGGAGAAGAGUUAGGAAAAUUUUGGAAAAAAAUAAUUGGAAAGAAGGUGACCCUUAUUACCCAAUAUUAAAACAUAUUAUGAAGCUACAAUAAUUAAAAACAUUCAGUAAUGGAGAAUAAAUAGGUUAAUAAAACAUAAUAAAAUAUCCAGAAAUAGACCUAAAUAUAUAUGGGAACUUAGUUUAUGAGAAAGCUGGCAUUUCAAAUUAGUGAGAAAAAGAGGGGUUAUUCAUUCAGUGAUAUUCAUACAAGUGGCUAACUGGAAAAAAAAUCAGGCCAGAUAGCUACCUCAUUUUUUACCCCCAAAUACAAUCCUGCUUAUGACAUAUUUACAUGUGAAGGAGAAAAAAAAAAACAAUUCUAGAAGAAAUCUCAGCUAAAUUUAUUUAUACACUUUAAAUGAGAGUUUUCCUAAGAAACCUAUAAUCCAAAAAAGAAACAUAUAUUUCUUUUAUAUGUAUUAAAUAUAUAUAUUUAAUUACAUAAAAUGAAAAUCUUUUGUAUGAAAAUAAAUCACAGAGUGGGAAAACUAAUAACCACAAUAUGCGGCAAAUAUAACAAAUGGCAAAUUUCUUUAAUUUGCAAAGAACUCAUACAAAUCAGGUGCCAAAUAGAAGAAUGGGCAAAGGCUAGGGAAGCACUUUACAGAAAAGGAAAUAUAAAUAGUGAGUAAACAUAUGAAAAGAUGUUCAAACCCAUAAUUAUGGAAAUACAGAUCAAAGCAAUGAGAUUUUUUCCCCCACCAAGCAGAGUGGAAAUUUUUAAUGUUUGAUGAUAUCCAGAGCUGAUACAGGCUUGGAGGAAAUAAAGGGGGUCUCUCAUACAUUUUGCAGGGAGAGUGCACUUUUCUGAAUGAUAAUUAAGCAAGAUGUCUGAAAAUUUAAAAAGCACAUGCCUUUUACGUCACCUGUGCUACUGCUCAGAAUCUAUCCUAUGGAGAUGCUCUGAAAUAUUCACCAAGAUAUAUGCACAAGGAUGUUCAUUUAAAAAUAAUAUUAAAAAAUGGGAAACCACCAAAGUGUCCAUUCAUAGAGAAUUAGUUUUAAAUUAUAAGUCCACACAAUGGGAUUGUAUGCCGCUAUUUAAAAGUCAUUAAAAAGAAAAAGGAGACACAACAUGUUAUCUGGAAAAGUUACCAAGAUAUAUCAUUAAGUUCAAAAUGACAGCAACAAAAACCAAGUACAGAACACCAUGACUAUAUGAUCAUCACCUAUGUGAAAUAAAAACCAACACAAAUCCAGGUAGAUACAUCAUACUUAUAUGUAUCUCUGUGUGUACAUGUGUGCAAGUGUGUGCAUACACAUGUACAAACAUAUAUUCUGCCCCUACCCCAAGAAAUUAUUGGAAGGUGAUUACAAUGGAGAUCUGCCCUUUUAAUGUGGUGUCUUUCUGAACAAUUCAAUUUUUCUAACAUUAUAGCAUCUGUAACUUUUAUUUAUUCAUUGAAUGUCUAUAGAAGCAGAGAAAACAAUGGGCCUUGUUUUCUAUGGUAAAUCCUGGUAAAACACUGCAUUUCACAUAUAAAAUAAAGAAAAAAUCAUUUUUGUGGCCUACCUCCAAAUCACUUUCUUAUUUUUCAGCUGAUUACAGGAACUCCAUGGUUUUGAAAUUAAAAGCAGUUAAUGCCCUUUAUAUUUGUAUAUUUAAGAGAAAAAUUCCUGGUCUUGAAUUAAAAAGCUAAUUUCCAAAAGAAAUGACAAAGAAUCACCCAACCUCUCAAUUUAAAAAAAUCUAGAUGAAAAGAGGUCACUGUCACCCAGAGGGGGGUUCAGGUUGUUCUGUUGGCAUCCUUCAAGCACUUUAAAUUAUUAAACAAACUCAGAUCUACAGCACUUUUCAAAUCUUUCUGAGCAGUCCUUCAACCUAACAGUGCCCUCUUCUGGUUCCAUAAAUUACAUUCACUGUGGUUCACUGAGGUAGAGAAAAAGAAUAAUUUAUAGAAGACGAUAGGAAAAUUCGCAUUGAAAUCUGGGAGAAAAGAGUUGUUUUCCUUGUUAGCAUAUAAAAGCAAAAGUCCAGUUUAAAUAAAAUGUAUAUAAUUAUUACCUAUUAUACAUGUACUAUAUAUGUUAAUUUGUGUGUAUAUAUUUAUGAUAUAUGGUAUACUAUUUAUAUAAUUUAAUAUAUAAAAUACAUAGUAUAAAAACUAAUAUCAUGCAUGAUCUAAAUAGUCCAGUUUGAUAGCAGCGGCUCUAAGUUGGAACUGUUUUGAUCUCAAGUCAAAUAUUUAUUAUAAAUCUAAACUACCUGGGUUUGAUUAAAUUUUUAUUUCCCAUUUUAUUAAUAGGCAUAUUUAACUGAAUUUACUAAAUCUAUAGCUAUAAAACAAAUUACCUUCAAUUUUUAUUCUCAAAGUUUUCAGUCUUGCAGAGAUUUGAGAUCCAUGUAAAAAGGCAGUAAAAACGUGACUUCACUUUGAGAAAUAGUCAUUCUUGAAUUUCACACUCCCUAUCUUCACUCCAAUUUUUUAAAAGAGUUUCUGACUGAUGAAUCUGCACUAAAAGGUCUUCUGCUGUCUAGGUGACCCACCAGAAGGACUGUACUCAUGAUGGAGAAUGAGGAAACAUUCCGAGGCAAGCCACUGGCCAUUUUCAGAUUUUCUAAACAGCGGCUAGGCAACAGCACCCCCUGCUGCCCCGCAAACUAACAUGCACCUUCCACAGUAGGAGGCCCGGAUGCAAGACGGGAAAGCAAGCAGGCUUCUCACUUACUAAGGCAGCAAAUAAUUUGUUAAGCGCAUAUUGUUACUAAGAUAUUGUAGAGGUGGGAGGUGGGGAAGAAUCCACAGAGAAGUGGAACCCUCAUUGUUGUCUCUCAAGGAACUUUCCAUUCAGUUGGGAACACAUAUGACGUAAUGAAACUCCUGAAUGUAGGGCGUGGAGACAUUGAUGAGUUGGUGCUCGAUCUGAGAAACAGUGGAGAGCCGCUCUCCACAUUUAACCAUCCCCAAAUGGUGCCAGUCGUCUAAAGACAUGCCUGAACAAGUGACAGUGUUUGACAGACCUUAUAUCUCCUUUCUAUCACACCAAAAUCUCUGUAGUGAGCUCAGGCAAUGUUUUGACCUGCUGGUGUGCUGAUGCACUUCAGGAUAAAAAGAAUUGGUCCACAUUGUAGCAAUAACUUCCAGGAAGAAACGAGUGAGGGAUUCGUGAUAGGUGAGUUUCAUUCUGAAGGAAUGUCUAUACAACCUAGACAGUGAGACCUCACAGACAAAGCCCUCCAGAAUUUCCAAGAGGCAUUUUUCAGCACGGAACGAUGCCAAAAGACAUCAUGAAGUUGUGUCUGGAGAGCAAAGCAGAUUGGACCAGAUUAUCUCUACAAUUUCUUCCAGUGCAAACACUCUGUGAAUGAAGGCACUUGCCUUCUCUCUAAACUGGAAGCCUCUUGAGGGCAGGACUGCAUCUACCUCCUCUCUGUACCCCUGCAGCACCCAGUACAGUGCCCAGCAAUGGACUGGAACCAAACCAGCAGAGCAAAACCAGGUGAGAGGAUACCUUGAGGACACCUUCAGCAACCCAUCUGAAACUAGAUAGCUGUCCUCUGAAAGGCAGCUUUUAUAUAACUAAGAUCACAUUGCAAUGAUGCCAAAUGUCUGAGAAACUCUUGGAAUUACACAAGGAAUUUAAAAAUAUGCAAUAUCAUUUGAAAACCAGCAGGAUACAGAGGGACAGGAGAAACAGAAAGGAAGACAGUAGAAAAGAGGAAGAGUUCCCCAAUCAAAUGCUAUUUAUUAGGAUUUCCCUCUUAUCCAGUAGUUAAAUGAAAUUUCUACAUCAAAGAAAAUCUCUGAGCACUCAGUAAUUUGUCUCUCCAGGGAACGGGAAUUCAGGCGGCUUUUAAAAAUAUCAUGGGGCCCAGCUAAUGUCCAGAAGUCAUCAUUAGAGAGCUGGAGUAGGUUAGAAGGAUGAAGUUUCGUUUGUCAGCCUCCUCCUGGUUCUCUGUAAGAGCCAUCAGUGGAUCCCGCCUAGAAGGGCUUAGCCCUCUUGAAGGGAAAGGCGCCAGCUUUGGAGCCCAGCGGUUGUCUGGUGGAUUUUAUUAUUAGAUUGGAGGUUCCACACAAUGUAAUUAAAGCCCUAUGGCCAUAGCGGCACCAAUGUCACAGGCCUGACUUUUUCUAUUGCAGCUGAUAAAUCUGCAGGCAGAUGGACAAUGUUCUCUUUCCUUUUGCCUCUGUGUGUGUGUAGGAAGAGAUGUGGAUGGACACAUCCCUCAAAAUCAUUUGGCAAGCACUAAUUCAGUUGAAAUGAUGCUUGGCAAGCUCUAGUCAUAACAAAGCAGCCUCAGAAAGGCCU